UGCACUGCCAGUCAAAUUAAGUAAUAACUAUAAAAAUUUUCUGCAUGCAACUUUAAAUAUUUGUUGUCCAAUUUAAAUCCGCUCAAAAAUAAUUUUACAUCAUAAAACUAAUUAGUUAUUGCUCUAGCAUGUUUACGCAUCUGUGAAUAUAUUCUGCCACCUUUUAAUAAUUAAUCAAUCAAUAAACUUUUCUCCGCAUGUAAUAGUAUUUUUGCCCUUCUAAAAUAA
rnacentral:misc_RNA from 1 species